rnacentral:rRNA from 1 species
CCUACGGGUGGCAGCAGUGGGGAAUAUUGGACAAUGGGGGCAACCCUGAUCCAGCCAUGCCGCGUGUGUGAAGAAGGCCCUCGGGUUGUAAAGCACUUUCAGUGAGGAAGAACGCCUGGUGGUUAAUACCCAUCAGGAAAGACAUCACUCACAGAAGAAGCACCGGCUAACUCCGUGCCAGCAGCCGCGGUAAUACGGAGGGUGCGAGCGUUAAUCGGAAUUACUGGGCGUAAAGCGCGCGUAGGUGGCUUGAUAAGCCGGUUGUGAAAGCCCCGGGCGCAACCUGGGAACGGCAUCCGGAACUGUCAAGCUAGAGUGCAGGAGAGGAAGGUAGAAUUCCCGGUGUAGCGGUGAAAUGCGUAGAGAUCGGGAGGAAUACCAGUGGCGAAGGCGGCCUUCUGGACCGACACUGACACUGAGGUGCGAAAGCGUGGGUAGCGAACAGGAUUAGAUACCCCUGUAGUC